rnacentral:rRNA from 1 species
AAUAGCCUAACGGCUGAACCAGCAACUUGGAUGAAUGAAAGGCGUAAGCCACUGUAAUAAUGAAAAAAUUAUUGCAUUAGUAACUACGUUACAUUAAGUUCUAGGUAAAUAUUUGAUAAUGACAUUAUUUAUCUAUAAGUCUUGACCAAGCCUCGUGCCAGCAGUCGCGGUAAUACGGGGGAGACGAGUGUUAUUCAUCUUUAUUUGGUUUAAAGGGUACCUAGACAGUUAAUAAAGCCUAAAUCAGGGACUAAUUAGCUAGAGUUUAAAAGGAUAAGGCUAGAACGGUGAGUGGAGAGAUAAAAUUCUUUGAUACACCUUAGAUACUGACAACGGCGAAAGCGACCUUAUAUGUAAAAACUGACGUUGAGGGACGAAGGCUAUAUAUAAUUAACAGGAUUAGAUACCCCAGUAGUCUUAGCAGACAAUGAUGAGUGUCAUAUGCAAGUAUUUAUGUUUGCGUAUAAAUGAAAGUGUAAGCACUCCACCUUAAGAGUAACAUGGCAACAUAGGAACUGAAAUCAUUAGACCGUUUCUGAAACCAGUAGUGAAGUAUGUUGUUUAAUUUGAUGAUCCACAAAGAACCUUACCACAAUUUGAAUACAUUUCUUACAGUAGAAAAAUACAGGAGUUGCACGGCUGUCUUCAGUUGAUAUCGUGAGAUUUUGGUUAGUUCCAUUUAAUCAACGUAAACCCUUACUUUAUUUUUUACAUAAAGUUGUUCAUCAUUAUAUUGACUAUGAUAACUGGGACUAAGACAAGUCAUCAUGACCUAAAUA